AUGGAAUUUCUGGAUUUUACUUAUAAUCGUUCAGUUCUAGUGUGUGGUUGGUGUUGCGAUAUGAAAAGUUAUUCAUUGUGGCUUAUUUUUUUACAAGGGAAAUUUGAUUCCAUGUAGCUUGGAGUGAUAAUACAAUUGAGGAGAAGACCAAGACUACCACUGAUAAGGGGUAUCAAGCUGGAUAUUCACCAUCAUUUGUAUAAGUCAAGGACAAGCUUAGUACAAUGAACAUAGAUGAACGUUAGAACAAAAAAGCAGUAGCAUAAACGACUCCCUGUUAGAGGCAAACAAUUGGGGUAUGCAUCUAAGGGUAUUAAAAACGGCAUUCAUUUUGGUGUUGUAACUAUUUUUUAGAUUGUAUAGGUCUUGACUUACCAAUGUUACUUCA
rnacentral:lncRNA from 1 species